CUAACUUCUUCUUUUGACUCUCCUGGUGGCUUCUGAGACUUAAUCUCCAGCUCCACUCCUAAAGGGCAGCCCUUUGUACUUACAGGGUGAGACGGAGGAGACAUGGCCCAGUCAGAUAGAUCAAUGGUGGGCUCCAGGACAGUCAUUGGAUCAUUGGUCCCUCGGAAGGACUCCCCAGGCACAGACAUCUUCCGCAAUGACAGUGGAGACUGCAUCGUCCGCUCUGACCUGGGCU